AUGGGGAUUCGUCUGCAAGAAAUAGUUGUUCACGCCAAGCACAUUAUGCAGCUGCGCCGGCAUGCCGCGACGUCGUCGAAGAACCAAAUAAGGUGCAGCAGUACUGCUAGUAGUAACGUUGAUGAUGUGCCGAAAGGUCACUUCGCAAUUUAUGUCGGGGUAGAAGAAGAGAAGAAGGAGCGGUUUGUGGUUCCUAUUUCAUACCUGAAGCAACCAAUCUUCCAAGACUUGCUGCUCAAGGCUGCCGAAGAUGGAAGCUACGGCGGUGGUGGAGAUGAUGUUGGAGUUCAAGAUUACAAUGGGAGCCAACCUGGUCAUAUGAGCCCAUUCACUUGUGAGCCAAACUUCACACAUGCAACACAAGAUGGUGAUCAUGGAAGUAGGAGAGCAGGUUCUGGUAUUGGAGCUAUAGGAAAACAUUAUACACCAAGAGAAAGAGGCCAAGGAAGAAUGCCAACGCAUGAAUAUGAUUUUUUAUCCACUUUUGACUCAUCUAGUGUGGGAGGAGGCAAUGAUGGACCAUACACUUAUGGCCAAAAUCUGACAAUGCCUUAUUCAACUUAUUUCAUGCCUUACGGGGUGCAAUCAACUAAAUCAAGUGAUACGGCAUGGUCACAGUCUGAUGUACAAUCUUCCAAUGAUUAUGGUUAUGGUCAAGGUCAAGCGCUGCCCAAUCCUUACAACUUCCAAUACGGAAAUCCACAGUCAAUCCCUCUUGACCCUUAUGGUUGGCAUAUAGGCGUGGUGUUGGAUGGGCAGAAGGGACUAAAAUUUCAGCCCCUAAGCCUCAAAUCCAACAAAAGUAACGAGUGUGAGUAUUAUCAGAUCAGGUGUUCACCAACUUCUGCAUUUGCCAUGACUCCUAGUAAAAUGCAAAUUGCUAAUGCUUUUAAAGCGGCAAAGGCAUUGGGAAUUUGUACUGACGAAAUCAGACCUGUCAUCAGACACUUGUACAAAGUUUUUCCCAAGAACUGGGAGCAUGUUGAGGCAGACAACUACAGGGUUCUAUUUGAUACGUACUUUGAAAUGAAGGAGAACAAGGGAGAAGCAGAAAACAGAGAUGAAAGACCAAGUAAAACAGUGCAUUUGACUGAGGAAGACCAGGUCUCUACAAGAACUGGAUCAAGUCUUGAACUGCUCCUCAAACAUUCCACUCACAGUGGUAAUGUCCAGUUGCCCCGUAAGGUGGCCUCUGGAAAUGGAAGAUUACAUCCUGAAAGAGCAUCAGCAGUCUCGCUUACUAGUCACACAAACUACUUCAAGAAGCCAAAGGAUGAGGUAUCCACAUAUGAUGUUGUAGUUUCUGCAGAACAAACCUCAAUGAGACGUCCAGGACCAAUGAGUGGAGCUGGUAGAAUACAGCGACCUAUGACAGACUUAAAUGGUGCAUCUGUUAAUCAUGAGGACAAGAAGCCAAUCAUUUAUAUAUCAGACAUAACCAAAUCAACUGAAAAAGUGCCUAUAUCCUUAGUAGAUGAUGCUGGAAAGGAGAGCUUGCCAAAGUUCAAUUACAUUCCACAAAACAUCAUAUCCCAAAAUGCCAAUCUGGAUAUUUCACUGUCUUGCAUCGCGGACGAGGAUUGCUGCCCAGGUUGUUCUGGAGAUUGUCUGUCAGCGGCAUUUCCUUGUGCGUGUGCUCAUGAAACUGGUGGGGAGUUUGUGUACACACCAGAAGGGCUACUAAAAGAAGAAUUUCUAAGUAACAGUAUUUCUCAGGUGAGCGAACCGGAGAAGCAACCUCGUGUUUAUUGUCAAGACUGUCUUAAGAAUGAAGACAUGCCUGAAGAAUGCAAAGGACACAUGGUCCGGAGUUUUAUUAAAGAAUGCUGGAGAAAAUGUGGAUGUGACAUGCAGUGUGGAAAUCGUGUCGUACAAAGGGGGAUAACGUGCGAGUUGCAGGUUUUCUGGACUCCUCAAGGAAAAGGCUGGGGAGUUAGAACCUUAGAGGUCUUAGAGAAAGGAUCAUUUGUCUGUGAAUAUGUCGGGGAGAUAUUGACUAACAAUGAGUUAUAUGAGCGGAAUAUGGAAAGUACUGGUAGUGAGAGACAUACAUACCCCGUGAUACUAGAUGCAGAUUGGGGGUCAGAACAAAUUUUGAGGGAUGAUGAUGCUCUGUCUGGAUGCGACGCUUCACGGCAAUGUUGCAAGGUUCAUCAAUCAUAGAUGCUUUGACGCAAACUUGGUUGAUAUCCCAGUUCAAGUGGAGACUCCCGACCGCCAUUAUUAUCAUCUUGCCUUCUUUACUACCAGGAAAGUAAAUGCCUUAGAAGAGUUGACUUGGGGAAAAGGCAGCGACUCUUGAAUGACUUGUGGCUUCCUUUAGUUUGCUUUAAUUUUGGAAGUCCCUCAGUGGCUGAUGCUACCCUUGUUGCCGAACUACAGAAUUUGGUACGGGUGGUGUUUUCAAUUUUUUUUCAGAUAAGAUUAGAAUGCUAGAGAGCUAGAGAAAAUUAGACAUUUUGUAAAGUUGUAUAUGGGUACUGUUCUUU